rnacentral:rRNA from 1 species
GAUGAACGCUGGCGGCGUGCCUAAUACAUGCAAGUCGAGCGAACGGACGAGAAGCUUGCUUCUCUGAUGUUAGCGGCGGACGGGUGAGUAACACGUGAAUAACCUACCUAUAAGACUGGGAUAACUUCGGGAAACCGUAGCUAAUACCGGAUAAUAUUUUGAACCGCAUGGUUCAAAAGUGAAAGACGGUCUUGCUGUCACUUAUAGAUGGAUCCGCGCUGCAUUAGCUAGUUGGUAAGGUAACGGCUUACCAAGGCAACGAUGCAUAGCCGACCUGAGAGGGUGAUCGGCCACACUGGAACUGAGACACGGUCCAGACUCCUACGGGAGGCAGCAGUAGGGAAUCUUCCGCAAUGGGCGAAAGCCUGACGGAGCAACGCCGCGUGAGUGAUGAAGGUCUUCGGAUCGUAAAACUCUGUUAUUAGGGAAGAACAUAUGUGUCAGUAACUGUGCACAUCUUGACGGUACCUAAUCAGAAAGCCACGGCUAACUACGUG